CGGAGCGACGCCGCGUGCUGGAUGAAGGCCCUCGGGUUGUAAACAGCUGUCGUAGGGGAGGAAAUUUUGACCGAUCCUAGGAGGAAGCACAGGCUAAGUUCGUGCCAGCAGCCGCGGUAAUACGAACUGUGCAAACGUUAUUCGGAAUCACUGGGCUUAAAGGGUGCGUAGGCGGAUUUGUAGGUCAGAUGUGAAAGCCCACGGCUCAACCGUGGAAUUGCGUUUGAAACCCCAAGUCUUGAGGGGAUCAGAGGAGAGCGGAACUGAUGGUGGAGCGGUGAAAUGCGUUGAUAUUAUCAGGAACACCGGUGGCGAAAGCGGCUCUCUGGGAUCUUUCUGACGCUGAGGCACGAAAGCUAGGGGAGCGAACGGGAUUAGAUACCCCGGUAGUCCUAGCUGUAAACGAUCUGUACUAGUCCGUGGGGACUCCCACAUCUUCUCGGACGUAGCGAAAGUGUUAAGUACAGCGCCUGGGGAGUAUGGUCGCAAGGCUGAAACUCAAAGGAAUUGACGGGGCCUCACACAAAAAU
rnacentral:rRNA from 1 species